rnacentral:rRNA from 1 species
AGAACGAACGCUGGCGGCAGGCUUAACACAUGCAAGUCGAACGCCUAUAGCAAUAUAGGAGUGGCGCACGGGUGAGUAACGCGUGGGAACGUGCCUUUCAGUCUGGAAUAACAGCGGGAAACUGCUGCUAAUACCGGAUAUUCUCUACGGAGGAAAGAUUUAUCGCUGAAAGAUCGGCCCGCGUAAGAUUAGGUAGUUGGUGGGGUAAUGGCCUACCAAGCCUACGAUCUUUAGCUGGUCUGAGAGGAUGAUCAGCCACACUGGAACUGAGACACGGUCCAGACUCCUACGGGAGGCAGCAGUGGGAAAUAUUGGACAAUGGGGGAAACCCUGAUCCAGCCAUGCCGCGUGAGUGAUGAAGGCCUUAGGGUUGUAAAGCUCUUUGUCAGGGAAGAUGAUGACGGUACCUGAAGAAUAAGCACCGGCUAACUUCGUGCCAGCAGCCGC